rnacentral:rRNA from 1 species
UGAGGGAAUAUUGGGUCAAUGGGCGUGAGCCUGAACCAGCCAAGUCGCGUGAGGGAUGAAGGCCCUACGGGUUGUAAACCUCUUUUAUAAGGGAAUAAAGGGCGCCACGUGUGACGCAUUGCAUGUACCUUAUGAAUAAGCAUCGGCUAACUCCGUGCCAGCAGCCGCGGUAAUACGGAGGAUGCGAGCGUUAUCCGGAUUCAUUGGGUUUAAAGGGUGCGUAGGUGGCUUGUUAAGUCAGCGGUGAAAGUCAGUGGCUCAACCAUUGAAUUGCCGUUGAAACUGGCGAGCUUGAGUACGUACGGGGCAGGCGGAAUGCGUGGUGUAGCGGUGAAAUGCAUAGAUAUCACGCAGAACCCCCGAUCGCGA